GACGAACGCUGGCGGCGUGCCUAAUACAUGCAAGUCGAACGAGAGCGACCGGUGCUUGCACUGGUCAAUCUAGUGGCGAACGGGUGAGUAACACGUGGGUAACCUGCCCAUCAGAGGGGGAUAACAUUCGGAAACGGAUGCUAAAACCGCAUAGGUCUUCGAGCCGCAUGGUUUGAAGAGGAAAAGAGGCGCAAGCUUCUGCUGAUGGAUGGACCCGCGGUGCAUUAGCUAGUUGGUGAGGUAACGGCUCACCAAGGCCGUGAUGCAUAGCCGACCUGAGAGGGUGAUCGGCCACACUGGGACUGAGACACGGCCCAAACUCCUACGGGAGGCAGCAGUAGGGAAUCUUCCGCAAUGGACGCAAGUCUGACGGAGCAACGCCGCGUGAGUGAAGAAGGUUUUCGGAUCGUAAAACUCUGUUGUUAGAGAAGAACAAGUGCUAGAGUAACUGUUAGCGCCUUGACGGUAUCUAACCAGAAAGCCACGGCUAACUACGUG
rnacentral:rRNA from 1 species